rnacentral:rRNA from 1 species
CCUACGGGAGGCAGCAGUGAGGAAUAUUGGUCAAUGGGCGCGAGCCUGAACCAGCCAAGUCGCGUGAGGGAAGACGGUCCUAUGGAUUGUAAACCUCUUUUGUCGGGGAGCAAAAGACGCCACGCGUGGCGUUCCGAGAGUACCCGAAGAAAAAGCAUCGGCUAACUCCGUGCCAGCAGCCGCGGUAAUACGGAGGAUGCGAGCGUUAUCCGGAUUUAUUGGGUUUAAAGGGUGCGUAGGCGGGAUGCCAAGUCAGCGGUAAAAAUGCGGUGCUCAACGCCGUCGAGCCGUUGAAACUGGCGUUCUUGAGUGGGCGAGAAGUAUGCGGAAUGCGUGGUGUAGCGGUGAAAUGCAUAGAUAUCACGCAGAACUCCGAUUGCGAAGGCAGCAUACCGGCGCCCUACUGACGCUGAGGCACGAAAGCGUGGGUAUCGAACAGGAUUAGAUACCCCAGUAGUC